UGGGGAGUGGUGUAAUAGGCAGCACGGGAGGUUUUGGUCCUCCAAGACCGGGUUCAAGUCCUGGCUCCCCAA
rnacentral:tRNA from 1 species